rnacentral:lncRNA from 1 species
GCGCAUCGGGAAUAUGCGCAUUUUACGUGAUAUCGAUUUCACCUUCGACAGAGCGCACAAUGUCGAUAUCGAUCGCACAGUCCACGGAAUGACGCAGCGCGGGAGGGGGCGACUCAUUUCUGUUUCGGUUGAGUGCGCGACACUCGCAUUUCGCGACAAAGGGAAUUAAUCUCAUCGUUUUUCUGUGUAAGUGCGAAUUCUCGUUGUACGAAUAUAUAACGCAGCUUAUUGGCUUCAUCCGCCGUACAAGAUUUCGCUCGAGAGCAAAAAGUUAGUGAGUAGACGAGACAAUCCAUGUUCACAUUUAUGUGCAUCGACUCUGUGUGUGCUAUGGUGGAUGUGAUUUCGUGCCAGAGAGCCUGUCCAGCAAGGAUCUUUAAACAGCCGGGAGGAUAACAGGGAAUAAAGGCAAGAAGGCGUACGGCUCCUUCGUGAGGAUCGGUGAAUCGCGAUACACAACCGAAAUAGUCGACGGUGUUUUAAAAGCUAUCCGCUACACGUGUAGAGACGUUUGGGUUAGGCUGUCCGCACCAUUCUUGCUGUAUCUUUUCAUCGUACGUGCCAAUAGAGUAUACCACCUUCGCUGGAUUUUACGGUUCGGGUUUUAUGGUUAUAUUUAUUACGUCGGGCUUCUACGGGGCUCGAGGAACGUUUUCCCUGGGAGCGAUUGCGACGGCCGAACCGGGAAUCUGGGUCGACGAAUGGAUCAUUGAAAAAGUUGGAAAUGACGUCGAUGUCGCGUCAGAAAGGCUGGAAAUUCUCGUUUAUAUGAAAACUGAUUCGCAGCAGUGGGGAUAUCCCGAAGUCGACGAUCUUUUAUAUGGUUCAAAUAUUCGUAAUUAACGUAUUUCCGCCGAUAUUGGAGAUCUAGCGCUAUCUCUAUGUAGAUAGAAUAAAGCAAUAGUAUGCAGCCAGAAAUUAUCUGAUAGAAGCUGGGCGAUAUCACGCUUAAUGGAGUAUCGACGAGACAGUGACAGGACUUGUUUUGAUGACCGGCGUUCGUCGCGCUGGCUGCACUUGAAGCUGCAAACGAUGCAUCAGCAAUGGCCAUAAUUCAUUGGCUCCAGCAGGUGUAUCCUCGUUUCCCCGGCCUCUUCUCACGAGCCAGCACGCACACACAGCACGCGGAUUCCGCGACGUGGAUCAACGCUGAUAUUCACGGCGAGCUGAAAACUAAUCGGGAUCGAAGGUAACGGAUGAGGAUACCUAGCUAUGCUGAAUCAUCUCGGAUGACGUAGAAAGCUAUCGAGGAUAUUAUACGUGGACCUUUUUCAACAUCCAACCUAGAAUGACCGAUGGUAUCCCUGAGAAUCUUGAUGGCGUUCCCGAGAUUUAUUUUGCGUAGUUAGUUAAAUGGAGAGAUCCAUUUUUAUUAGAACGGAGAUUAUAAUAACAAAUGUGGGAUUUUACUAUGUAAAAAUGUUUAGGAGAUUUUUAUCGAGUCUUUAAUAAGUUUAAGGAAUUAAUAGUGUUUACGUAAAUAAGAGUAGAAAUCAAAAGAGCUGCUAGUGAAAUAUUUGGUAUUAGUGGAAAUUAUUAAUAUUAGGGGUACAAAUUAUAUAAUUUGAUAGUUCGUAAGGAAAAUAAAAAUGUUCUUUAUGGUUCGUAAAGUUAAUCAUUAUUUAACAAAUCUUUCAUAAGACGAACAAAUAUUUGAAUUGAAACUAGGAAUGGAUAACUCUAAGCAUUUAAUAAAAUAAUACAGGAACGUCUUAGAGAAAUCGUACUUAUAUUUUUGUAUAGUUGUUCAAAAUUUCAGAUUGCAGGAAUUAUUGAUUUUGUUGAAUCUUUCGCUAGGAAAAUUGCAAAUGAGAAAAUAAUAUAUGGAAAUGGUAUUAAUUCAUAAAUCGAUUUCAGUCCUAAUGCCCUUGUAAAAAAUUUGGACGAUUUUAUAUUGAAUCCGCCUAUAAAAUACGUAUA